UACGGGGGGAGCAAGCGUUGUUCGGAUUUACUGGGCGUAAAGGGCGCGUAGGCGGCCAGUGCAAGUCAGUUGUGAAAUCUCCGAGCUUAACUCGGAAAGGUCAGCUGAUACUGCUCGGCUAGAGUCCGGAAGAGGAGAGUGGAAUUCCUGGUGUAGCGGUGAAAUGCGCAGAUAUCAGGAAGAACACCCGUGGCGAAGGCGGGUCUCUGGGCCGAUACUGACGCUGAGGAGCGAAAGCGUGGGGAGCGAACAGG
rnacentral:rRNA from 1 species